rnacentral:rRNA from 1 species
AUUGAACGCUGGCGGCAUGCUUUACACAUGCAAGUCGAACGGCAGCACGGACUUCGGUCUGGUGGCGAGUGGCGAACGGGUGAGUAAUACAUCGGAACGUGCCCAGUUGUGGGGGAUAACUACUCGAAAGAGUAGCUAAUACCGCAUGAGAACUGAGGUUGAAAGCAGGGGAUCGCAAGACCUUGCGCAACUGGAGCGGCCGAUGGCAGAUUAGGUAGUUGGUGGGAUAAAAGCCUACCAAGCCGACGAUCUGUAGCUGGUCUGAGAGGACGACCAGCCACACUGGGACUGGGACACGGCCCAGACUCCUACGGGAGGCAGCAGUGGGGAAUUUUGGACAAUGGGCGAAAGCCUGAUCCAGCAAUGCCGCGUGCAGGAUGAAGGCCUUCGGGUUGUAAACUGCUUUUGUACGGAACGAAAAGCUUCGGGUUAAUACCCUGGAGUCAUGACGGUACCGUAAGAAUAAGCACCGGCUAACUACGUGCCAGCCGCCGCCGUAACAC